CACGGAAUACAUUUUAUGGCCCUAAAUCAAAAGUGACGGUUAUUUAUCAUUUAGUAAUUACUAAUUAGUUGCACCGUCCCAAGUAUGAUUGUUUAUGCACCAUGCACAGACUCAGUUGUAUGGGUGAUUUUCGGUCUGCAUUAAGUAAUGAAAGAGAAACUUAGGCAAUCUACAAAUAAGAAUUUGGCGAAAAACAUGAGAAAACACAAGAAUCAUCCGAUUUUCUAAAACAUUUAACGCAUCAAGCAGUAGUAUUGCAGAAAAAAAUGGACGAAAUCUAUAUGGGGAAAUCUGGGGCCAUCUUACCUCCCAUUCAAAUACGGAGGGGGUGUAUUUAAUUCUUACAUACAAUCUGCUAAACUUAUAAGUUUAGCUAAUGUUGUUAGUCAUUUUUUGAAUUGCUCUGUGUCCUCCUGCUCAUCUCCACAUCCUCAAAAUACAUUAGAUGAUGUAAAACCAACUAAAAAGCAUAACAAACGAAAGAGUCGACUAAAUCGAAUAUUUACUGUUGAAAAUAAAGAAUGGGCUAAUUUAACACGUCAAACAUUGGGGACAUGAAUUCGAACUGAACUUAAAUCGUACUAUGUUUGGGAACUAGUGUCAGAAACAGUUGAAUCUAUUUGUGAACACUACUCAAUUCAGAAAAUAUCAUUGCUUAGGUCAUUUUGUUUAAAAAUUGGUACUCAUAUAUGAUUACGUGAAUAUUCCUUUGAUGCAAAAAAUAGAUUUAAUUUUUUUGAAGAAGAUGUCAUCAAUAUGUUCCCAGUUGUUAAGCAUAUCAAUCCAAGAGCAACUGACGCAUUUUAUUUCUACUCUACUACUGGUCAAACUAAGAUUCAACAAGGUCUUUUGAAAGAAGUGUAUUGUCCAGUGUUUAAGAAUGUUGGCUAGAUUGAGUUACAUAAUGGGCGAUCAUAAUGAAUCUAUGGCAUUCCAGUAAAAAGCUGUUUUUAUGUCGGAACCAGUAAAUAGAAUUUAUCACCCAUACACAAUUACUGAAUAUAUCCAUUCAGCUCUAUACUGUUAUGCAAAUAAUCAAAUCACUCCUGCCCUAAAGUAUUUAAACUUUGAAAAACUUUAAGGCAGAAGUAGAAAAACGUUCAGAAACUUAAGAUUUUGUAAAUGUACUAACAGAGCAACAAGACUGUACAAGUUGAGUACUUUCAAAACACGUAGAAUAGUAUAUAUUAAGCAUAGUUGCCGAUCAACUAAUAAUAGAAAAUUAUGCAAGAACCAUACUUUAUAGUAUACCAUAUACACGUUUGUGAAGACCCGGAGAGCUAUCCUCCAUUAAAAUUAUGGCCUCUUUAUUUAUAAUUAUUUACGGUUGGAUAUCGGCAUUGUGUCCACACUCAAAUCUAGAGUAGGUAUUAGUCGUGUAUUCUUUUUGAAAUCCAAUGAAAAUACAUACAAUUUUUGUCAAGAUGUAAAACUCUGCACAGGUUAUGUUUUUUUUAUUAUAAUAAAUUCUAAAUGAAGACUGGAAUUUGUAUAUUAAGUAAAAUAUAUAAAUUAAGGUUUAAGUAAAGAAAUUUGGUAAGUUUUUGUGAAAUAAUAAAUUUUGAUGUUUAUAAUAACAAGUAAGCAAGUUUCUUGAUGACAGGAACUGUCCGUUCUAACUGCGCCCAAGGCACGGGUAAAAACAAAAUCAUACAUGUAAACUGCGCCCGAGUUCUUAUCAAGUAGAAAAAGGUGACAUGUAAACUGUAAUGAAAACAACUUAGAUCGUUACAGCCAUAUGAUAUAUACAUCAGUUUACAUAUACCUAUUUUGAACCAAAUUAUAGUCGGGUCGCAGUUUGUAUGUUUGUAAUUGUAUUAACAUUUAUGAUUAUUCUUAUUUUGUGAUAAUUUUGUAUAUUUGUAAUUGUGUUAUUA